UGCCGCGCGACCUGUGAGAUCGUAGUUCCCCCACCAGGGAUGGUACUCGUGCCCGCUGCAGUUGAAGCACAGAGUCUUGACCACCGGACCACCAGGGAAGUCCCAAGAUAACCUCUGGUGAAGAGAGAGCUUUCAUAAAGUCUUCCUGUCUGAACUCUUGAAUGGUCAUAACACUGAAGCUCCGAGCCUGACCUUUAGACCUCAUGCUGACCCAUUGCGAAUCAGACCUUCUUCAGGACUUGAAUUGAAAGCUGUUGAGCCAAUGCUUGGAGGAGUCAUUAUAGAGCUUAACUCACAGAGCAAAAGAAGGUGGAGGAUACAAUUUAAGAAAAUUUUCCUGCUGGUCAAGAAAAGGACCUUCCUGACAUGAGAAGAUCAAAAGAGAAGGAUAGAAGGGAUAGAAGCAGCCCUGAGUCCACUCUGGGAAGGAGCAUGGGUGAGCCUCCUGGAGGGUGAGACAGCGUAUGGAGCAGAGGCAGCCUCCAGCUGAGGCCCCUGAGACCAAACUGCCUGUCUACACAUGGCGUGAGAGUGAGGCCAUCUUGGACCAUCCAGCCUCAGCAGAGCCAUCAGCUGACCACAGAGAUUAGCCCUGCUGGCCCAGGCUAGAGGAAGUGCCCAGCUAACCCAGAGGAUGGUGAGAAAUAACAAAUGACAACACAUAUAUUUAAGUACUGAGAAGCUCCCUUCACUGUCUCAUAGACCAGAGCAAGAGUCACCUGUGUUUCAAGUUGUGUUCAUUUGCCUGUUAAGACAAGGGCUGAAGAUACACUGACCGUGUGUCCACUUUAUCUUCCUGGUCUUGACUAUGCCAAUUUAAUCAAAAUCCUCGAUCUACAAUAUUGCCUUUUACUUAAGGAAAUGAAUUUUAGUGUGGUUUAUAUACAGCAUCAAAUAAA